GAAGCUCGCCAGACCGCCGCUGGUGCAAUCUCCGAAAGGAGGCACUGGAGGAACGUCCGGACUGCACAGGACAGCGCAGGAGGUAACACCUCUCCACCGUGAGGUGAGGAUCAGAGCAACAGAGACGAGUCGCUGUGGGCAACCGCAGCGGGUGAAACGGGCAAUCUCUGCGCGCAGCAAUACCAAGUAGGCACACGUUGAUCUGGCUCCGGAGAGUGUGCGGGUAGGUAGCAUCGAGCCGGGUGGGCGACCCCCGGCCCAGAGUAAUGGCGGUCACACAGCGGGCAACCGCUGUGCACAGAAUCCGGCUUAUCGGCGAGCUUCACAC
rnacentral:RNase_P_RNA from 1 species